rfam:Erinaceus europaeus unplaced genomic scaffold scaffold00236, whole genome shotgun sequence
GGAUGUGAGGGCGAUCUGGCUGCGACAUCUGUCACCCCAUUGAUCCCCAGGGUUGAUUCGGCUGAUCUGGCUGGCUAGGCGGGUGUCCCCUUCCUCCCUCACAGCUCCAUGUGUGUCCCUCCCAAAGCUGCGCGCUCGGUCGAAGAGGACGGCCUUCCCCGAAUAGAGACAGACCGGUCUUCGGUCGAGGGUAUAGGAGUAGCUGCGCUCCCCUGCUAGAACCUCCAAACAAGCUCUCAAGAGAGAUGUAUUCAUGACGGUGCACCUUCUGUGCACAUGGGAGAGACCCCAAUAGUUCUCUGU